UGACUCCCUCUGCCUUCCAGAAGGAGAUGUCUCUCACCAUCAAGCAGAGGCUGGCCAGCACUCAGGAGAUGAAUCUGCCCCAGGUUGUCCAGCUUCAAGACAAGAGCGAGACCUCUAUUACAAGCUCUCAGCAGUUGGCCUGGAUCACAGCUCACCUCAGCCUUGCCCACCAGAGGUGGUGUUUCACAGCUACACCCCUGGUGAGGUGUGUGAAGUGCCACUGGCUCUGAGGAACAGGGACAAGGAUUACUCCCACCAGUUCCUCUGCAGCACUGAAAGGAAAGAGUUCAUUGUGCCAAUUUGUGCUGUUGGUGCCUGAGCCAUCCCGGACUCCCCUGGCCAGCUGGACUUCUCAGCCUGUCGGGUCAAGUGUAGCACCCAGAAGACUCUGCUGGUUGGAAACCAGGGCAGCUCGUUACCAGCUGAGCACCCAGAGCUUUGUUCCCUUCUGUUACAAGUUCCAAGAGACAAACAAAGGACCACACAUCCAUCAGCUGUACUGGAGAAGGUUUCGACAUAUUUCAGCAGCAUCGUUGUCCCCCUGCCCUCGGUGGCACCAAGAGUAGAUGCUUCCCAGAGCCCCAGACCUGGCAGCCCCGUGUUUAAGCUGUGGCUGCUGCAGAUGGACCUGAGGCCAGGCCAGACUGUGAACAUGGUGCUGGAAGGCUGCUCCAGCACUGCCCAGCAACCCAGUGCUAUCCUGGCUCUUCAGUGUCUGCAAUGUGGACCAGCAGCCUCUCACUGCAGACACCAAGGCCAUGACGCUCGAGGUAGGGGAGGAACUUCAUCUCAGCAUCCAGUUUAACCCAGCUUAUGAGAACAAUCUGAACAGCUGGGUGCCGGAGAGGGUUCUCAGGAUGUACUUCAUGGAGCAUCCUCAUGAGGAGCAGAUCACUGUCCGGGGAGAAGUCUACUUCCCAAAUCUCCAGACCCAGGCCAUGGACUUUGGCUGCAACAUGAAUGACACUGAACAAGUGCUGUAUGUGGAGAUGACCAACUGCAGCCCAAUUCCUGCCCAGUACCACUGGUCAUUCCAGACAGACAGACAGGUGAACACCAUGAGCAUGGUGCUGCUCUUUUCCCAGCUCUCUGUCCGGCAAGUCAUCCAGCCUGCCCCCAGGCCUGCGCAUGGCACCUUCUGAUUUUGCUCUGGGAGCACUGCAGCUUGUUUGAGGCAGCUUCUUCUGCAUCAGGGCUGGUAGCCACUGUCACACACCUGGAGGACUUUGACUUGAGGCAUUGCAACGGAAGCUGGAGCCCAGAACAGCUGCAUGGGAGUCACUUAACUCUCACACUUGGGUUUGGGGAGCCUCAGCCAACUCCUUCGCAUGAGACUUGUAGUAGAUUGUUUUUCUGUUGUAAUCUUAAGGUGUUCCUUAUUGUGAGUUUAUAGUGGUUUGUUCCAUGUAGCCUGGUUAGUUUCCCCAGUGGUUUUGCCUUGAAGUUGUUUACUGCUAUUUUCCCGCCUAAUCUUAGGUCAGUCCCCAGGUCAAUCUCCCUUGCACCUUCCUGAUUUUCUGGAAAUCCAAUGUACUUCCCUACCAAUCCUGCCCUCUUCCCUUGUUCAUCAAAUGUAACCCCACCCCUUUCUCUAGAAGCUUCCUUGUCUAUCACCCUUCCCUUGAAGUUCCGUUGGUGUGCCAAGCCUGAUCCCCUCCCAUGUUAUCCCCUAUUGGUUACCUAGAAUCUGAUCCCUGCCUACAUUCCUUCCCUGCUGUUCUACUAUUGGUUAUCCUUCCCUAGUACCCUCCCCUGGUCUUAAGUUCCUGUUACCCUGUUGGAGCUUUGUCACUGGACUUUGUCACUUUGUCCUUGGACUUUCUCGGAGAUUAAACCGUCUUGAGAACUUA